AGCUCAUUAGAGGGACAGCCAAAGUUGGAUGUUUUGCUGACAAGGUUCGAGAGAGCAGACUUCGAUGGUUUGGACAUGUUCACAGGCGAGAGCGUGAGUAUAUUGGUGGUAGGGUGCUGAGGAAGAUGCAGGAGAAAGGCCAUGAUGGCAAAAGAUGACACGCUGUGGCGAUCCCAAACGGGACAAGCCGAAAGGAAAAGAAGAAGAAGAUUGGUACAGGCAAAACUCAAUGUACGAAUUGAUCACAAAUGUGUCUCGUUGUUAGCCUGCUAAGCUACAGUCGUCUGGGCCUAUAAUUGGAGCAAACCUGUGAUCAGGUGUCUGCUGAUGCUUCACGAAGUCAUCCAACUUUGGCGCCACCGAUGAUUUUCAGCGUGUCAGAAAAUUUUUUCUUCCACUAUCAAUACACCAUUGGCAGAAAAAAAUAUAGUCCCUCAAUUUGAGCCACUUGAAUUUAGAAAACCAUUCCUGGCGAAUCUUUUGCCUCUGCCCCGCACGGGGAGUAGAUUUUCCGACAGCAGACAAAAAAUUUUCUGCAGCGUGAACCAUUGGAAAGAAAGAUGCAGUUGUUUCCGAUGUAAACAAUUAUUCACUCAACUUACGGUAUACCUUCUGAUUAAACUUUGGUCACGCUAAAGCCAGGAAUGAAAUACGAUUUCUUGUAUUAUAUUAAGAAGUCUAUAACAGUACAGAAUCGUAUGCUCGGAUAACCAGCCAAUUUACACGUUUGCAAAUUUUUUUCGCCAUUUUAAAUUGUUACUCGCCAGACUUAGUAUGUGUUCGCAUAUGGCGAAUUGGGGAGUGGGUAGCGAGGGCCCUGUAACUUCCAAACAUGCUCAGUACAGUUAACUUGAAUUUCCUGUUUCCGGGUGAAUACUGAUUGUUUAGGAGCAAGCUUGUCAAGUUAACAAUGUUUAUGAAAUAAACACGUAAAUUAAAGGCGAAAUCCAGUGGUUUGCAUUAACAAUGUAUCCAAUGGGUCAUGUAAUAUGUACUCUAUCUUGACAAUGUGAUGUUAAAUCCACUCUCAUUUAAUAGUGUUUUGAGAAGAUUUUUAUCGACAAUUACAAAUUUUCAGGGGCGCGGCCAUUUUUGCGAGUCACAUAACCUAUGUGGGCGUCUGUGACGUGUUACGUGCCGUUCCAAACCCUCGAUUACAUGGGACACCAUUAUGCCUGGAUAUAAUCAUCUGAUGAAGAAAUAGCAGUAUCGGUUGAUUGGUAAGACGGAGGAAUACUUCCAUACAGAGCGGCGGAGCCGUGAUCUUGCUCAGCCGGGGAGCCGAGCAGCGGAGCCGUGAGCUCGCUUCCCGCCGAGCCUGGAGCUCGCUUUGCCGAAGAACCAUCCGAAUUUUCAACAUUAUUUACCGCCAUUCGGCGGAACUCAGCUCACGGCUCCACGUUAUUUACAGCCACAGGUUCAAAUCUGUAUGGAAGUAUUCCUCCAUCUUCCCAAUCAAUAGAGCGGCCGAGCCGCUCACGGCUGUGUAUGGAAGUGUUCCUCCGUCUUCCCGAUCAACUGAGCGGUGGAGAGCCGCUCACGAAUGUGUAUGGAAGUAUUCUUCCACCUUCUAGAUCAACCGAGCGGCUGAGCCACUCAUGGCUGUCUAUGGACGUAUUCCUCCGUCUUCCCGAUCAACCAAGUGGCGGAGAGCUGCUCACGGCUGUGUAUUGAAGUAUUCCUCCGCCUUCCAGAUCAACCGAGCGGCCGAGCCGCUCACGGCUGUGCUGCUCACGGCUGUUUAUGGAAGUAUUCUUCCAUCUUCCUGAUCAACCGAUACUGCUUUUUCUUCAUCAGAUGAGGAUAAAUCUGAGAAAUCAGCGCUGGGCAUAAAUGGUCUCCCAUGUAAUUCGAGCCAUUGUUGCGGUACGGUAAACGUCACAUCCACGCACGUAGGUCAUGUGACUCGCGAAAAUGGCAGGGCCCCUGAAAAUUAGUAAUUCUCAAUAAAAAUCUUCUCAAAACACUAUUAAAUGAGAGGAUUUAACAUUACAUUGUCAAAAUAGAGAACAUAUUACAUGAUGUAUUGGAUACAUUGUUUAUGCAAACCAGUGGAUUUCCCCUUUAAUGUCAAGACUACACAAAAUAAGUGGUCUUUCAAUAUCAUUUUUUUCAACUCCUAACAAAUUUUACGUGCAUGAUUUUUCGUCCUCGACUGCGCAGAUCUGCGAGCAUGAUGGCGCGCGUGCAGGAUCGUGCUUGUCAAAUCACAGUGACUGUAAUUCUGUAUUUUUAAUAUAGGAGCCAACAUAACAUUAACCAUAAAACUGUUUGUGAGCAUCAUUCAGCUUUCAACACACAUAGCUAAAGAUAUUCAGCAAGCAAUAAUUCAGUUUUACACCAAGAAAAACAGACUGGGAUAUCAUUGUGGGUAAAAAAAAAAAUCGAAACAAAGUUGGAAGCGACAUUUCAAAUUUAUAGUUAAUAAUUGGCUUGGUACGUAUUUGUAUUGUAAUCUAUUUUUGUGUUUGUUGACAUUUUCAGUUUAAGUUUGCAAAAACACAAAAUUGUUCUUAAAAAUGUUCUGAUGGGAAUGUAAUCUUAACCUUUUAAUGGGCCAUGUAACUUCAGUGGAUGACAGUGAUUGACGGAGCACUCAUGGCCUUAGUGUGUUUGCUCGGACACGUAAAAAAUUAGAGGUAACAUUGGUCAUUACAGAGAACUAAAGCACGACAAGUUGCAACAUUUUCUGGAUGUUUCUUCACCGCAAAGUCCGAAACAUUCUCCGACAUCGCCAACACUUCCUUUAUGUCGGUGGUAGAGAUAAUCUCCUCCUCUGUCUCCUCGUCAGAACUCUCUGCACCUCUUAUGCUGCUGCAUCUGUCACUCCUUUAAUUCCUCCGUCAUCAGCUCCUCCGUAGCUUCAAAAUAAUCCCCCCACCCCACCCCCUUGGCUGCUGUUAUCGAUUUAUGGAUUACUUCUGCUUGAGAAUCGUAAAUAUUGAAAUAAAGUACAGUAUGUAUAAUUACGAGUGUACCCCUUUAAGAGUGGAGAGGGGGGGGCGUAAAACAAACUAGGUGGGAGAGUGUGUAGCAUAGCAGCAGCUAGUUGUUAGAGAGUUCGGUGUGUGCUGCUGAAGGGUUGAGUAAAAAGCGACUAAAACCCAGUGCUAACUCCUUAUCCUCAUUCCCUUUUACCGAGGGGAUUCCAAUAUGGUUGACUUCGAACGGUCAUAACAUUUUGCAAAGUCGCUCAUUCGUACAUCCUGUUCAUGUUUUUCUAUUUUUUCAAAUCCAUCAACAUCAACCUCUUCUUCCCACUGAACAAUUGCUUUCUUGGGCCACAUGGUUGAAAAUUCACUUGUACUAAAUGACAAAUGACAAAAUGCGAGCACAUCCGCACAGAAAAAUUACCAAGCUGAGGUGCACAAACGUAAAGAUGGAGUGAAGCUCAAAAAGCUGAACAAAACCUCUGUGUUUCAGCAUCUUAACAAUCGCGGUGACAUUACUGGUAAAAUUGUCCCAGCAGCGGGUUGUAUCUCGAAAAACUAGUGUAAAGUUACUGCUAUGUCAAGGUAUCACUGUACUUCCAAAGGUGCUUUUGAUGUGAAAAUUUAACAAGAUGUUGGGAACAACCGAAGUAAUUCAUGCUUACAAAGAAAGUAGAACAAAUAACAUUGGAAAUUAAAUUGAGUGUAAAAAUGCGUAAUGACACAUGGAAAAAGUUUUGAACACAUUAAUAAAGGAAGGUGGAAAAAGGCAUGGAAAGCCACGCCACCUAAAAUCUAUCAAGAGUCAAACAGCAUUGCAGCCCCUUGUAGGUGCAAAUGAAUAUCAGCUGAUUCAAUACUAUUUGAUGGCCAACAAAAAUGUCUCCUUGCCAAGGUGUGAGUCACGACACAUCUCUCGAUGAGUAAGAGCAGAGUGCCAUCUCAAGACCAUCACAAACUAAUUGAUGCAAAACAACAAUAUGAUUGGUUAAAGGUAAAUAUCUAAACUUUCCAGUGUGCCCAGUUUGGGCCAUAAUAUGGAAAGCCAUUCACACCAGCAUAAAUCUGCCUUGAUGAGGUGCUCAUUGAAAGAUUUCUGACAGAGGAGUGCAAAGAAUAAUCAUAAGAGCUGUUCAAGGACCAUCUUUGGAGGGCCUUGGAAAGACAUGGAAUUAACAAGUAGUCUUGUUACAAGGCAGCCAGUGAGUAAUGCCCUGGCGUGGAUGCACGGUCACCACGCAAAACCCUGUUCCUGGAAAAAAGCACGUCUAAGCCAGUUAAAUAUUGUGUAGGAAAAUACAAGUGUUCCGUGAGCUCAGUCCAUGCUCCCACAGGAACUGAAGAACAUCAGGAUGGCACAUUUGUUGUGCCACUCUGGCCUGAGGUGGAUUGCCAGUGAGAACAUCAGAGAAAAGAAUGGACAGCCGGGGGCGCUGGGUUGGGACAAUGAAUAAGAGCGCCAUGAGUGCCAAGAGCACCACUUAGCUUCUAGGAUCUAUGGGACACACAAACCCCUCCACCACAAUAAGGUGACCGCUCAAUGAGGGGAAUAGUUGUCUCCUGUAUGUUUUUCUUUCCUUCCAACUCUGGUCCACCAACUUCAACAGGAAAAAUGCAUUGAACCCAAAGAUGUCAAAGUAUAUGACAAAACAAGGUCAAGGGCCACCUGCAGGACUGCCAGUGGCAGGAGUAGGUGACACAAACCUUUAAAAAAUAAACGAGAUGACAACUCCUCAAAGAAAGCUUUAAUACAGACAUCUUUGAAAAAACUAGUAAUUGACCAUCUUGGGCUUUCUCUCCCCACUUUCCUUGACCUGGGGCUUGUGAUGCAUUGUUAAAACGAGUAAAUUUCCCCCAUUUUUAGGGACAUAUGACACCAAUGUUGUUUUUCAUGAAUGCAAAAAGUGUUGAAAGCAGCUGGCAAUGUCCAAAUAUGAGGAACUGCCAAGGAAGUUUGGCCUUUAUUUUUUCCAGACUUUGCCAACCAGGGCCAUUUUUUUCCCCUGGCGCUCUGCAGCCAAAGUGAAGGACAUGAAAAAAUUGUACACUGUGACAUUGCCUUGUCUCUCCCUCUUCGUCCUCCACCUCCUUCUCUAAAUUCAAGGUGCCGAUGGAAAAAUAUAGUCCUUAUCAGAGGUUUCUUCUCUAGAAUACCCGGAGAGGGAAAUAUCCUCAUUAGGGGUUUCAAGAAGAGGAUCUCGGCCUUGGUCACUAGAGAGUGUACGUCACAUGGAUUCUAAUUUGAAAGUGAACGGACCAAGGUGUUGAGAUUUGAAACAUCCAGGUCUCGACCACUGGGAGAGGAGCAAUCCAAACGUUCCAAAACUACAGAGCUCGGCGUCCGGGGCUAAUGGCCUCCGCUGCCUGGAAGCUCGGCUCACAGCCCGCUGCCGCAGCUCGCUUGUCGUCAUUCCCGUCAGAAGAACCAUCCGCAGCUGCCGGCCCAGAGCUCCCGGGGGCCUUUGUUUACACACUUAUGUCGCACGUAGGCCUCCGAGAAGUCAAACUCCGCGCCAUUCUGACCAAAGAACCGUCCGAAUAUUCAACAUCAAUUACAGCCACAGGUUCAAAUCUGUAUGGAAGUAUUCCUCCGUCUUCCCGAUCAACCGAUACUGCUAUUUCUUCAUCAGAUGAGGAUAAAUCCAAGAUAUCAGCACUGGCCAUAAUUGUGUCCCAACGUAAACGAGCCUUUGUUCCGGCACGGUACACCUCACAUCUAUGCACGUAGGUCAUGUGACUUGCGAAAAUGGUAGCGCCCCUGAAAAUUCGUAAUUGUCGAUAAAAAUCUUCUCAAAGCACUAUUAAAUGAUAGGAUUUAACAUCACAUUGUCAAAAUAGGCCGCGGGCAGCACGGCGCGGUCUCUGCUUCAAGUGACGUUACGCGCAGGAGAACGUGUAUACAUGGCUACAGCAUUUAUCGACUCCAGGUCUGACGCCAAUCUCCUGAACCUGCGAGUGAUUGACUUAUUGGGCCUAGGGACCUUUAGAGCGCAGUGCAUCUGACACGUUUAUGCUGCCAAUGGCAAGUUUUUGUGCCGGAUUACUCACCGCACUCGAACUUUAAACAUGACGUUCCCAGACGUACACACUGAACGCUUGAGUUUUCACGUGUUCGAUUCACGAAGGAGCACCUGUAUUUCAGUUUUAAUUGUACUUUUUAUUUUCAGAUGUUUUUAUUUUUGUAUUUGAAUGGUGUUAAACGUAUAAAGUGCAUUGAAUUGCCUUGUGUAUGAAAAGUGCUCUACAAAUAAAUUUGCUUGGUUUUGCUUUCCAGGGACAUUUGACCAUAAAAUAGGGCUAAUGUUGCCAUAUGGACUGCCAAAAACAAUUGAAACAUCUGCAAUUUACCGCAAGGUGUUUUCUCGUUAGAAGUGAGCUGAAAUAUCCAUAUUUGGGUAUACAAAAAAAUUACACUGCAUCAUAAAGAUGUUAUCAGAGUCUAUAAACACUUGCUCAGGUGUUUUUUUUUUUUUUUUUUUUUUUCCCAAAAUAAGUCACUUUGAUUGCCCCACCAAGACUUUGUGUGCCGUCAUUCCGCCUUGUGGGCGUGAUUGGUGAAUUGGAGUCAAAUGACUUUAGUGGCUAUCCUGGAUUGGUGCAAGGGCACCCUAUGUGAAAGUUAAUGAUGAAAUCUAAAAAUAGAUCGCAGAUGCAAUAAGCCGCCCCCCCCCCAAAAAAAAAAAAAAAAUCUAGUUCUGAUUUCUUACAUUCCAGAACUAGGGUAGGUAUUUUUUUUAACUAAAUGUUUUUACAUUGUCCAACUGUAACUUGACAUUCGACAUGCAUAUAAUCAUGAAUCUCUGUUAUACACUCAGUCUCUCAACCUGGCAGUCUGUAUUAUUUAUUACGCAACAAUAUGCUACUAUUAAAAUCUAUCUGAAUAAAGGGAAGAAAUGGAAAAAGUCUUGUAUUUUGUUCUUUAAUGUUGAAUACAAAUCAAAUGCUAACGAACUUCUCAGUUCUCGUUAAUUUACACUCUCGUGCAUUACGAGAUCAAAAUUCAUGAUGGUGUCUCACAUUGCGAAACACCUGAAUAUUAGCAUUAACUUGAUUUUGUCACAAAUGAGGGAGAGGGAUGACCCAGAUGCAGGAAGCCGAGACGUAAGCAUGGAUUUUAGGAAGGUUUAUUGCCAGGUAGAGGUCGUACACAGGAAAGCAGUCCAACAGGGCAAAGGUACAAAAAUCACAAGGCGAAAGGCUUGGUCCAAAAAACAUGAAACAUUGUCAAAAAUCGAACAUGGCAAAAAAAAAGAAAACGUUACUUGACUUGACUUUAUAUGGCUCAGUAACGCUAUUACAUGGGACAAGGCAGUUAUGCUAGCUGCUGCUCAUGAACACACAUGCAUAUACACACAAUGAUCUGGCAACAAGUGGCAUGAAAAACAAGUCUUAAAUACACAACAUAAUCAGGACGCAACGAUGUGCAGGUGCUGCCCAAUCAUCAGCGUCCACGAGGAAGUAGCACGGCCACGCCCUCGGCUGCUG